rnacentral:lncRNA from 1 species
UUUCCAGGAGGGAGAAGAGAGACUGUGAGCUAGAGGGAAGAGAUAUAGAGUACUGAGUUAGAUCUGUGAGUGACGUUGAGAGAUUUAUUUCUUUUUCUUUUCUCUUUUUUAAUAUUAUUUUUGUUACCAUUGGAAGAAGAGAGAGAGAGAGUUUUUUUUUAAUUUUAUUUAUUUUCAGAUUUUUUUUAAUAAUAAUAUUAAUUAAAUUCUAAUUUUGAUCGGAUAAACUAGGAUAAGUGUGGAUUGCUUAACAUAGACCAUUGAUUAAUUUGAACCGAUGGCUUGGAUUGAAUCAAAGAAACACACCAAGAAACACACACUAUUUAAAUAAAUCAAAAUGCAUAUAAUGCCCUUUUUUAGAUGAUUUAAUCGAUUUAAAACAAUUUACAUCAAUUGAAUCAAAUAAAAUUCACAACUUUUUACAUAAUCAUGAUAAAAUUAAAAUAAUAACAUGGAAAAUUCUAU